rnacentral:rRNA from 1 species
AUUGCCUCAGUAACGGCGAGUGAAGCGGCAACAGCUCAAAUUUGAAAUCGGGCGCCCGCCCGAGUUGUAAUUUGGAGAGGAUGCUUCUGGGCAGCGGCCGGUUCAAGUCCCUUGGAACAGGGCGUCAGAGAGGGUGAGAAUCCCGUAGGCGACCGGCUGGCACCCGUCACGUAGCUCCUUCGACGAGUCGAGUUGUUUGGGAAUGCAGCUCUAAAUGGGUGGUAAAUUCCAUCUAAAGCUAAAUACCGGCCAGAGACCGAUAGCGCACAAGUAGAGUGAUCGAAAGAUGAAAAGCACUUUGGAAAGAGAGUUAAACAGCACGUGAAAUUGUUGAAAGGGAAGCGCAUGCUACCAGACUCGACGGCGGAAGCUCCGCCGGUCUUCUGACCACGGCCGACUCGCCGCCGUCGGGCCAGCAUCGCGUGGGCGCGCCGGACAAAGGCGCGGGGAAUGUGGCCCCCCUCUGGGGGGGUGUUAUAGCCCCGCGUGCGAUGCGGCGCCGCCCGCGCGAGGUCCGCGCUUCGGCUAGGAUGCUGGCGUAAUGGUCGCAUGCGGCCCGUCUUGAAACACGGACCAAGGAGUCUAACAUCUGUGCGAGUGUUCGGGUGUCAAACCCCUACGCGGAAUGAAAGUGAACGGAGGUGGGAGCUUCGGCGCACCAUCGACCGAUCCUGAUGUCCUCGGAUGGAUUUGAGUAAGAGCAUAGCUGUUGGGACCCGAAAGAUGGUGAACUAUGCCUGAAUAGGGUGAAGCCAGAGGAAACUCUGGUGGAGGCUCGCAGCGGUUCUGACGUGCAAAUCGAUCGUCAAAUUUGGGUAUAGGGGCAAAGAC